CACGCAAGCGGUUGCUCAAGUCUGACGUGAAAUCUCCUGGCUUAACUGGGAGGGGUCGUUGGAAACUGAGUGGCUUGAGGCGAUGAGAGGGGUGCGGAAUUCCCGGUGUAGUGGUGGAAUGCGUAGAGAUCGGGAGGAACAUCAGUGGCGAAAGCGGCACCCUGGCAUCGAGCUGACGCACAGGUGCGAAAGCGUGGGGAGCGAACG
rnacentral:rRNA from 1 species